rnacentral:tRNA from 1 species
UUAAUUGAAACCAAAAAGAGGUAUAUUACUGUUAAUAAUACUAUUGAAUACAGAUUCCAAUUAAG